AGCGAACGCUGGCGGCAGGCCUAACACAUGCAAGUCGAACGAACCUUUCGGGGGUAUUUGCGGUCGGGUGAGUAACACGUGGGAACGUGCCGUUAGGUUCGGAAUCCCUCAGGGAAACUUGUGCUAAUACCGAAUGUGCCCUUCGGGGGAAAGAUUUAUCGCCUUUAGAGCGGCCCGCGUCUGAUUAGCUAGUUGGUUGAGGUAAUGGCUCACCAAGGCGACGAUCAGUAGCUGGUCUGAGAGGAUGAUCAGCCACAUUGGGACUGAGACACGGCCCAGACUCCUACGGGAAGCAGAAGUGGGGAAUCUUGCGCUAUGGGCGAAAGCCAGACGCAGCCAUGCCGCGUGAGUGAUGAAGGUGUUAGGAUUGUAAAAUUCUUUCACCGGGGACGAUAAUGACGGUACCCGGAGAAGAAGCCCCGGCUAACUUCGUG
rnacentral:rRNA from 1 species